AUUCUGAAAAAAAAUUUCAAAAAAUUUUUUGGUUUUUAAAAAGAAAAUUUUUUUUUUGUUUUUUUUUAAUACAUUACUUUACCAAAAAUGCAGUUAAAUAAAAAGGGAGUAGAUCUAAUCAGACAUUUAAUUACUGCCAGAAAUGUGGUUCCAGGAAAUUAAAAAGAUAUUCUAUUGAACAAUGAAA